GUGUAGUGGUAGUGCUGGGAAAUACGAGUGAGCGCGUUAAUCCGCUAAUGCACCACUGCCACUGUAAUAUUAGAUUCCGCGAGAUGUGGACUGCGUUGUUGAAUUUACGCGACAUUCUAUACCCAGUUAGUCGUCUGUUAUAUUAUCACUAUUGCUGAUAAUAGUGAUUACUAAACAAGAUCUGAUCUACACCCAAAACUCGACAACUCCAUUAAAUCUAUUUUAUGUACAAUAGAUAGAUUUUUAGUUGAAUUUUAUAUUUUUUGAUAACGGGGGUAGGGGGAAUAACUAAUUGUUUUAAUGGAACAUCAAUGUCACGAUGGUUAAAAAAUAUUUUCAUUUAAUGUUUUAUGGAAAAAAAACUUUUAUCGAAAUUGAGAAUAUACUGAAAAUUUUGUGUGUACGUUUUCAUGAGAUUUGUGUACCCAAGCAGCAAUGUAUGAGUCGAUUCGCUUAACGAGUUUAAUCGGUUUUAUAGAGGGGCCUUCAGGCUAUGACAACGUACGAUCGUCCAUCCGUCCGUCCGUUUGUAUACAUGGAAAAAGAGAUAACUCGGAUCAAGAUCCACUAGCGUUGCCACAGGAAAAACGUUAAUAGUAGAUUUCAAGUAAACCGAGUGCGUGAAAUCCGAGUUUAGCUUCCCGUCGUUCGUUGGCCACAGUCUUAAUGCGAUUUACCCUUUGUCCGAGAUGCCGCAGUACUCAUCAAGAGAACACUGAACACGAACUAAGGAGUCGAGAAAGGCUGGAAGAUGAUAAAUAAAGAGUAUGAAGUAAAAUAAGAGGAUGAGCGAAGUGAAAUGAUUUGAGAUGAGAAGAAAAAGUGAGCAAGAACACGUGUAAGGAAAAUUUCAGGCAGUAAUUGUUGAGCAAAACUAGAAGAAAGGUGCAGCUACAGUAUCAAAAAAAUUUCAAGUUUCACGAUACACGGAGAGAAGUGAAUAGUAUAUUCUCCAAUGUAACAUAGUAAUUAUUAGCAUGUUGCAUGGUAACGCAAGUUUUUGAGUUGUAUUUUUUAUUUGACAUAGUAAUUUGUCCGAUUUUGAAUGGUAACGCUAGCCAUGCUAGCAUGGUAAUCAUUCAUAUGCUACAUUGGAUCCAAUAAUUCGAAUUAUUCAAAUUUCGAUGAAGCUGCUUCCAACUCAAGGUAGUAAGUUUAAUAUUACAAUAAGGUUUUAGAAAUUAAAAAUUAGGUUAUUUAAUUAAUAAUAAAUAAAUUUUUAACUGAUUUAAAGAAUUUUUAAAUAAAACAAUAACUAUUAACAUUAACAUAUUUUAACAUGGGUUAGUUGUGUUAGAAAAAUAAUAUAAUAAUUUCAUUAUUUCUUGAAAAUACAUUUAAUUAAUAUUUUAUUGUAAGUAAAAUGAUUAAUAAUAAUUAUGAAUUAUUAAUGUAGAGAAAGUUAACAAUUAUCUAAAUUAAAAAUAUUAAAUCCAACGCUUUGGAAUAUACAUUUUUCCGUCUGCAGCAUUGACGAAACGUGUGGUAGAAUAACAUUUUAAAUCGGAAUACAAUAGACAAUGAUACUUGUCAAAUAAUACUUGAGUUUCGUAUGAUUGAUAGAGUUCAUUAAAAUAAUAUUCAUUGAUGUAAGUAGUAAUUAAGAUUAAUAUAUGUACAGGUUAUAUUAAACGUAUAUACUACAUAGCAGCGCUUAAUAUUAAGCUGCCUUCACGCUAUACAGCAUGGGACUCAGUACCAUUCUAGCAUGGCUUUGAUUACUGUGCUACAAAGUAAUAUUUACCAGUAGCAUGAUUACUAUGUAGUAUGGUAAAUAUUGCCAGAAGAAUGGUAAUCAUUCCCAUGGUACAUAGUGUAGAUUCCUAUGCUUUAAAAAAUAGGACUGGUUACCACGUAGAAUGGUAAUUAUUACCAUUCUCUUCUCUCCGUACAGAGCUAGAAAAUGUUUUGGAGCUAAAUUUUUGAACAUACAUAAUAUAAUGAACAGUAAUUAGGAGAUAAUUGAACAAAAUUCGGUACCAUGAUCAAAAUGAUUCUUAAAUUUUUUUUUAAUUUUUCUU